GACGAACGAGGGUGGCGUGCUUAACACAUGCAAGUCGAACGGAAAGGCCCUGCUUUUGUGGGGUGCUCGAGUGGCGAACGGGUGAGUAACACGUGAGUAACCUGCCCUUGACUUUGGGAUAACUUCAGGAAACUGGGGCUAAUACCGGAUAGGAGCUCCUGCUGCAUGGUGGGGGUUGGAAAGUUUCGGCGGUUGGGGAUGGACUCGCGGCUUAUCAGCUUGUUGGUGGGGUAGUGGCUUACCAAGGCUUUGACGGGUAGCCGGCCUGAGAGGGUGACCGGCCACAUUGGGACUGAGAUACGGCCCAGACUCCUACGGGAGGCAGCAGUGGGGAAUAUUGCACAAUGGGCGGAAGCCUGAUGCAGCAACGCCGCGUGCGGGAUGACGGCCUUCGGGUUGUAAACCGCUUUCGCCUGUGACGAAGCGUGAGUGACGGUAAUGGGUAAAGAAGCACCGGCUAACUACGUG
rnacentral:rRNA from 1 species